rnacentral:rRNA from 1 species
CCUACGGGAGGCAGCAGUGAGGAAUAUUGGUCAAUGGGCGCGAGCCUGAACCAGCCAAGUCGCGUGAGGGAAGACGGUCCUAUGGAUUGUAAACCCUUUUUGUCGGGGAGCAAAAGACGCCACGCAUGGCGUUCCCAGAGUACCCUAGCAACAAGCAUCGGCAAACCCCGGGCCAGACGCCGCGGUAAUACGGAGGAUGCGGGCGUUAUCCGGAUUUAUGGGGGUAAGGGGGUGGGCAGGGGGAAGAUCAAGUCAGAGGUAAAAUCUAGGGGCUCAACCGCUACUAGCAGUUGAAACUGGUAUGCUAGAGUGUGGGAGAGGUAGGCAGAAUGCGUGGUGUAGCGGUGAAAUGCGUAGAGAUCACGAAGAAUACCGAUUGCGAAGGCAGCAUACCGG